UACGUAGGGUGCGAGCGUUGUCCGGAAUUAUUGGGCGUAAAGGGCUCGUAGGCGGUUUGUCGCGUCGGGAGUGAAAACCAUGGGCUUAACUCAUGGCUUGCUUCCGAUACGGGCAGACUAGAGGUAUGCAGGGGGAGAACGGAAUUCCUGGUGUAGCGGUGAAAUGCGCAGAUAUCAGGAGGAACACCGGUGGCGAAGGCGGUUCUCUGGGCAUUACCUGACGCUGAGGAGCGAAAGCGUGGGGAGCGAACAGG
rnacentral:rRNA from 1 species